AAGAGACAACAGCAGCAGAUGAUCCACAGACGUCUCCAAGUCCUGGCUCCAACAGGCUCCUUCCUGUGUUAACAGCUGUCUUCACCUUUACGUUUGUGGUUGUGCUGCUGCUAGUGGUCGGACUUGUACAGUGUCGGAAACACAGAGGUCCAGAGGAAAACGCAGCUGAUCCAAACGAUGUGACUUAUUCUACUGUCACAGCAAAGAGAAAGAGGGAAGUUUCCAGGUCAACAAACGUUUCAGAUCCAAACAAGUCAACAUAUGCUGUUAUCGUCCCGAGGAAGGAAUGAGCUUCUGUGGUCCCACAGAACAAACUCCUCAAAUUAAACUGUUUGCUACUAUAUACAUUGUAACAUAAAUACAUAUAUACAUAAUGUACUAUCUACAUAGUACAUUGUAUGGCACCUUUACAGCAUGUCUGGUUGGGAGUUACAAUGGAGGCCUCUGUUUAUUAUAUUCAAAUGACUGAUGCAUGAGAAACUAUGUCCCGCUGUCUUUUAUACCUUCAUUAGUUUUAGUUUGCCAAGAUUCAAAGCAGAGGGUCUCGCUGCUGUUGGACCAGUCUGGUAGAUUCUGAUUUGGAAUUUAAAAUAAAGUAGAACA